rnacentral:rRNA from 1 species
AGAUGAGUUCUCCCUGACCCUUUAAGGGUCCUGAAGGAACGUUGAAGACGACGACGUUGAUAGGCCGGGUGUGUAAGCGCAGCGAUGCGUUGAGCUAACCGGUACUAAUGAACCGUGAGGCUUAACCUUAC